GCCUACGGGGGGCAGCAGUGGGGGAUAUUGCACAAUGGGGGGAACCCUGAUGCAGCGACGCCGCGUGGGUGAAGAAGCGCCUCGGCGCGUAAAGCCCUGUCAGCAGGGAAGAAAAUGACGGUACCUGAAGAAGAAGCCCCGGCUAACUACGUGCCAGCAGCCGCGGUAAUACGUAGGGGGCAAGCGUUAUCCGGAUUUACUGGGUGUAAAGGGAGCGUAGACGGCGGCGCAAGUCCGGAGUGAAAGCCCACGGCCCAACCGU
rnacentral:rRNA from 1 species